UGGGGGGAACCCUGAUCCAGCCAUGCCGCGUGUGUGAAGAAGGCCUUUUGGUUGUAAAGCACUUUAAGCGAGGAGGAGGCUACUGGUAUUAAUACUACCGGAUAGUGGACGUUACUCGCAGAAUAAGCACCGGCUAACUCUGUGCCAGCAGCCGCGGUAAUACAGAGGGUGCGAGCGUUAAUCGGAUUUACUGGGCGUAAAGCGUGCGUAGGCGGCUUUUUAAGUCGGAUGUGAAAUCCCUGAGCUUAACUUAGGAAUUGCAUUCGAUACUGGGAGGCUAGAGUAUGGGAGAGGAUGGUAGAAUUCCAGGUGUAGCGGUGAAAUGCGUAGAGAUCUGGAGGAAUACCGAUGGCGAAGGCAGCCAUCUGGCCUAAUACUGACGCUGAGGUACGAAAGCAUGGGGAGCAAACAGGAUUAGAUACCCUGGUAGUCCAUGCCGUAAACGAUGUCUACUAGCCGUUGGGGCCUUUGAGGCUUUAGUGGCGCAGCUAACGCGAUAAGUAGACCGCCUGGGGAG
rnacentral:rRNA from 1 species